rnacentral:rRNA from 1 species
AUUGAACGCUGGCGGAAUGCUUUACACAUGCAAGUCGAACGGUAGAGGGGGCAACCCCUCGAGAGUGGCGAACGGGUGAGUAAUAUAUCGGAACGUGCCCAGUCGUGGGGGAUAACGUAGCGAAGGUCACGCUAAUACCGCAUACGAUCUAAGGAUGAAAGCGGGGGAUCACAAGACCUCGCGCGAUUGGAGCGGCCGAUAUCAGAUUAGGUAGUUGGUGGGGUAAAGGCUCAACAAGCCAACGAUCUGUAGCUGGUCUGAGAGGACGACCAGCCACACUGGAACUGAGACACGGUCCAGACUCCUACGGGAGGCAGCAGUGGGGAAUUUUGGACAAUGGACGCAAGUCUGAUCCAGCCAUUCCGCGUGCAGGAUGAAGGCCCUCGGGUUGUAAACUGCUUUUGUACGGAACGAAAAGGUCUCUCUUAAUACGGGGGACUCAUGACGGUACCGUAAGAAUAAGCACCGGCUAACUACGUGCCAGCCGCCGCCGUAAAAC